rnacentral:rRNA from 1 species
GUUAAGCGACUAAGCGUACACGGUGGAUGCCCUGGCAGUCAGAGGCGAUGAAGGACGUGCUAAUCUGCGAUAAGCGUCGGUAAGGUGAUAUGAACCGUUAUAACCGGCGAUUUCCGAAUGGGGAAACCCAGUGUGUUUCGACACACUAUCAUUAACUGAAUCCAUAGGUUAAUGAGGCGAACCGGGGGAACUGAAACAUCUAAGUACCCCGAGGAAAAGAAAUCAACCGAGAUUCCCCCAGUAGCGGCGAGCGAACGGGGAGCAGCCCAGAGCCUGAAUCAGUGUGUGUGUUAGUGGAAGCGUCUGGAAAGGCGCGCGAUACAGGGUGACAGCCCCGUACACAAAAAUGCACAUGCUGUGAGCUCGAUGAGUAGGGCGGGACACGUGGUAUCCUGUCUGAAUAUGGGGGGACCAUCCUCCAAGGCUAAAUACUCCUGACUGACCGAUAGUGAACCAGUACCGUGAGGGAAAGGCGAAAAGAACCCCGGCGAGGGGAGUGAAAAAGAACCUGAAACCGUGUACGUACAAGCAGUGGGAGCACGCUUAGGCGUGUGACUGCGUACCUUUUGUAUAAUGGGUCAGCGACUUAUAUUCUGUAGCAAGGUUAACCGAAUAGGGGAGCCGAAGGGAAACCGAGUCUUAACUGGGCGUUAAGUUGCAGGGUAUAGACCCGAAACCCGGUGAUCUAGCCAUGGGCAGGUUGAAGGUUGGGUAACACUAACUGGAGGACCGAACCGACUAAUGUUGAAAAAUUAGCGGAUGACUUGUGGCUGGGGGUGAAAGGCCAAUCAAACCGGGAGAUAGCUGGUUCUCCCCGAAAGCUAUUUAGGUAGCGCCUCGUGAAUUCAUCUCCGGGGGUAGAGCACUGUUUCGGCAAGGGGGUCAUCCCGACUUACCAACCCGAUGCAAACUGCGAAUACCGGAGAAUGUUAUCACGGGAGACACACGGCGGGUGCUAACGUCCGUCGUGAAGAGGGAAACAACCCAGACCGCCAGCUAAGGUCC